ACGGCCGUACCAUGCUGAAUAUACCGGUUCUCGUUAGAUCACCGAAGUCAAGCAUCAUUGGGUGGGUGACCACCUGGGAACACCGCGUGCCGUU